rnacentral:ncRNA from 1 species
UAAUACUGCAGGUAGAAAUACGCUGUAUACUCGUGUAAUCGAAUUAACGUUUAAGCGAUAUGUAAUGUCGUCGAUCACGGGGGCCGCCUUCGGGCGGCUUUUUUACUUU